GUUGUCGUGGCCGAGUGGUUAAGGCGAUGGACUUGAAAUUCAUUGGGGUUUCCCCCGCGCAGGUUCAAAUCCUGCCGACAACG